AGGAUUCUCCACAUUAUUCAUCUCUUUGGGCAAAAGCUAUCGGUGGCUUCUGAGUUAUUUUCUCAUUAGGCGUUUGAUGGGAAUUACUUGAUUGUGGAUGGCUUGUACUUGUAGUUCAUUUUGCAGGCACCCGAGGAACCAGCGAGCUGUUUCGGAAGUCCAGGUCCCCAGACUUCUGGGUCUGUUAAGCUAAUUUUCUUCCCUUUGAUCCCUGGCUCCAGGAGUGGAUGCAAGCUGCUUCCUGAAGUUACUAUCUCUAUAAAGAGGAAAAAAAAUAGAAGAUGAAGGGGGAAAAAACAAUGGCAACGAAUAGUUUCUUAGGGGACUCAGUGGUCAGAAACAGCAAAGCACGGAGAAUGAACUUUACACCUAAAGGGGCUAAACAAAUGUGAGAGGGCACUGGUGUCUAAGAAUACACCACAAGGACCAUUUGACUGUCCCCUCUGGCUUCUGCAUCUUGCUUCCAGCAUGAACAGACAGAUAACUGCAUUUUCUACAAAUUGAAGAUUGUGGCAACCCUGUGUCAAGCCUCCCUAUUUCCUGAGACACAACAAUAUUGAAAUUAGGCCUAUUAAUAACCCUACGACGGCCUUUAAGCAUUCAGACCAGUGUUCUGACUCUCCAGACAGUCGAGCCCCAACUGUACUCAUUGGAGGGACGGACCCACUCACUAGGAAUGGCCACAGGAUCAGAACUGACCAGUUAAAUUGAUGUUAAAUAGAAAUAUGCUUUCAAAAGAAUUAAUUCAAAUGUUUCUACCAUUAAGCUUGCUGGAGGAUUUGGGGAGAUUCAUUUUAGCAGAUUAAGGACGUUUCCUCCUAUUCCUAA